GUGGGGAAUAUUGGUCAAUGGGCGAAAGCCUGAACCAGCAAUGCCGCGUGAGUGAUGAAGGCCUUCGGGUUGUAAAGCUCUGUCAGAGGGAAAGAAAAAACCGGUUAAUACCCGGGCUUGACGGUACCCUCAAAGGAAGCACCGGCUAACUCUGUGCCAGCAGCCGCGGUAAUACAGAGGGUGCAAGCGUUGUUCGGAAUUACUGGGCGUAAAGCGCGUGUAGGCGGCUUAUUAAGUCGGACGUGAAAUCCCUUGGCUUAACCAAGGAACUGCGUCCGAUACUGGUAGGCUGGAGUAUCGGAGGGGGUGGCGGAAUUCCUGGUGUAGAGGUGAAAUUCGUAGAUAUCAGGAGGAACACCUGUGGCGAAGGCGGCCACCUGGAAGAUAACUGACGCUGAGACGCGAAAGCGUGGGGAGCAAACAGGAUUAGAAACCCGGGUAGUCC
rnacentral:rRNA from 1 species